CUUCUCUCCUCAGGGCCAGUUCCUUUAGCGCCCUCUCUGGUCGCGAAGCCCAGACUGAAACACUCAGACCAGAAGCACCUCUGAGUGUCUCCUAGAUGCUGAGCUUGGUGUGACCAGAUUCGCCCUACCCUCGUCUCCUCCACUGUCUCCACUGAGAGACUGUGUCUCUGAUCAAGGGCUUUCUGCCUGUGAAACACGAACCAGCUCUUAGUUCCAAAGGGAUAUAUGCUGCCACCAGGAGACACAACGAUGAUCUCAUUGAACUGGAAGUUAAGACUGACAACUAGCCACUGUGGGCUCCUCGUGCCUCUAAAUCAACAGGAUAAGAAGGAAAUCACUGUGCUGGAUGGGGUGACUUCUCCUGACUGCCUUACCAAGGAGAAAUUAGACCAUUAUUUCACAGUGAGGAAUGAAGGAUUGGGCCAUCGCAGUGACAUCUAGGAGGUCACACUGUCUGACCUGGA
rnacentral:lncRNA from 1 species